CGGCGGGACUGAGUUCUAAGACUUUACGGCACGACAACCUCACAACUAUCACAGCUAUUCAAGGCAGUGUGUUGAAUGAAUUGGAGGUCCCACAAACAGAAACACAAACACCAUGAACUCCCAGGGCAGCUUUGGCAGCAGCUUUUUGUUUCAGUCCAUCAACGAUGAACUGAGCGCAUCUUUGGCCACAGCAGAUGAGCUUUCACGGGAAUUCAGCUCUCUCCUGUCAGAAGCCACUCCUGUCGUGCAAACCACUACUUCAGAGGUACAGAAUUAAUUAUUGCCUUUAAAGGGGACCUAUUAUGUCCCUUUAUACAAUAUGCAAUAUAAGUCUCAGGUGUCCCCAGAAUGUGUCUGUGAAGUUUCAGCUCAAGAUACCCCACAUAUCACUUAUUAUAUCAU
ensembl:lncRNA